CCCAUUCAGAGAUUGAUAUAUGUAUUUAAAAUGUUUUUUUUUUUUAAAGUAGGAUUUUAUUAACUUCACUGAAAAACCCAAAGAAGUGGUAUACCUACCCUACAGACCUUAGUUUAUCUCCUACAAAGCAUAUAUAGUAAAGUACAUGCUAGAUAUCAGCUACAUGCAUUAGCAUGUAUUGGGCUCCUGAUUCCUGGAACCCCCUAAAAACUAUUACAAAUUACACCUGGGAACUCGUCACAGAGCCUUCACCAGCUGUGGUCAGGCUCUGUGCUGAAGUCCCUACUGGGCUUGAAGAACUCCGUAAGAUGUUGCUGCAGGAUUUAUAUUAAACUAUUUCAUUCUUCCAACUGGUGUACAAGCUGUUACCAGAUAUAUGUAAGGCAGCUGUAAACUGAUGGAACAGGGAUUGUAAAAGAUUAUUAAGUACUGUAGACAGGAUUUUUUUUUGGCGGGGGAGGGGGUACCUAGGCAGUAGCCUUUUUUGUAAAGUUACAAAUCAUAAAAACAGGCCAUUUCAGAGCUAUGGGGAACCCAACAGCUCAUGUCAAAAUGAUAAACAAGUUGUAGUUUAAUGGCCCUCUAACUCUAAAAUUACUGCAAUUUCAAUCCAGGCUGGGAAGAAGAGUCCAUUGUGACUAGAAAGAAUUCCAAUGUUUGGAGAAAUAACCGUUAAUACUUUUUUCUACAAUCUGAAAGUGGGACUUAAUGGAACGCUGGCUGCAACCUUUCAUCUGCAAGUGGUGGCCAAGGAGCUCCAAACUAAAGCAACAUCCAUAUGAUUGGGGAAAUAAGGUAUAUUUAGUGCCAUUUGUAACAGCUCCUAACUUGUGUUUCUAAUGCUACAGUGCAGAUGAUGGGAUACUACACAAUCUGACACAGGAUCAGCUAUGUCCUGGCUGGAGGCAACACAAUUUAUACCAUUAGUGAACUCAAACAAGACAAUACCAGAUGGUGAAAGGAUCCACUUUUCCAGCCUACAACGUUCCUUUAUGAUGGCCAUGCACAGAAAAUGAAUAUUCAGACAUCCACAAGAGCACAUUUCUUAACUCAUUAAAAUUGUCUGUUCUAUAUGUAA